CCUACGGGAGGCAGCAGUGAGGAAUAUUGGUCAAUGGGCGUAAGCCUGAACCAGCCAAGUCGCGUGAGGGAUGAAGGUUCUAUGGAUCGUAAACCUCUUUUAUAAGGGAAUAAAGUGCGGGACGUGUCCCGUUUUGUAUGUACCUUAUGAAUAAGGAUCGGCUAACUCCGUGCCAGCAGCCGCGGUAAUACGGAGGAUCCGAGCGUUAUCCGGAUUUAUUGGGUUUAAAGGGUGCGUAGGCGGCCUUUUAAGUCAGCGGUGAAAGUUUGUGGCUCAACCAUAGAAUUGCCGUUGAAACUGGGAGGCUUGAGUAUGUUUGAGGCAGGCGGAAUGCGUGGUGUAGCGGUGAAAUGCUUAGAUAUCACGCAGAACCCCGAUUGUGAAGGCAGCUUGCCAAGCCAUGACUGACGCUGAUGCACGAAAGCGUGGGGAUCAAACAGGAUUAGAUACCCGGGUAGUC
rnacentral:rRNA from 1 species